rnacentral:lncRNA from 1 species
CGCAGACGCAGGAAGCAGUUCCUCUAUGGCAAAUUGGAAACGUCGAAGUAGGUUGUGGCUUAUAAAUAGGAAGAUAAGAUGUUAGCGGACCGACUUGACAAGACCCCCUUUUGCUCUAUCUAACUUGGCGUGCGCUCCUUCCGGCCCUGCGAGAACAUAUUCGGACACGCGCGCUACUCAUAUCGGUACUAGAAGCCCCCAGAGCAGGCCUGGAAGACUAUGAGCCCCACCUUCUGCGCGCGAGC